GACGGAGGGUGCUAGCGUUGUUCGGAAUCACUGGGCGUAAAGGGCGCGUAGGCGGCCUUGCAAGUCGGUUGGUGAAAGCCCGGGGCUCAACCCCGGAGGUGCGGCCGAGACUGCAGGGCUGGAGGCCGGAAGAGGAGGGUGGAAUACCCAGUGUAGAGGUGAAAUUCGUAGAUAUUGGGAGGAACACCAGUGGCGAAGGCGGCUACCUGGACCGGUUCUGACGCUGAGGCGCGAAAGCGUGGGUAGCAAACAGG
rnacentral:rRNA from 1 species